rnacentral:rRNA from 1 species
GCAGGUUGAAGCGCGGGUAAGACCGCGUGGAGGACCGAACCCACCUGGGUUGAAAACCGGGGGGAUGACCUGGGGCUAGGGGUGAAAGGCCAAUCAAAUUCCGUGAUAGCUGGUUCUCUCCGAAAUGCAUUUAGGUGCAGCGUCGGUUGAUUGCGUCGCGGGGGUAGAGCUACCGGAUGCUUGCGGGCCCUUGUUGGGUACCAACAGCAGCCGAACUCCGAAUACCGUUGACGUGUAUUCCGGCAGUGAGUCGGCGGGGGAUAAGCUCCGUCGUCGAGAGGGAGACAGCCCAGACCGUCGUCUAAGGUCCCGAAGCGUGUGCUAAGUGGGAAAGGAUGUGGAGUCGCAUAGACAGCCAGGAGGUUGGCUCAGAAGCAGCCAUCCUUGAAAGAGUGCGUAACAGCUCACUGGUCUAGUGGUUCCGCGCCGACAAUGUAGCGGGGCUCAAGCACACCACCGAAGACGCGGCAGCAAUCUUCAUGGUUGCUGGGUAGGAGAGCGUCCUGCGAGGGGCGAAGCGGCCGGGUAACCGUGCCGUGGACUUCGUGGGAGUGAGAAUGCAGACAUGAGUAGCGAGAGACGGGUGAGGAUCCCGUCCGCUGGAUGACCAAGGGUUCCGGGGCCACGUUCGUCGUCCCCGGGUGAGUCGGGUCCUAAGGCGAGGCCGACAGGCGUAGUCGAAUGGAUGAACGGGUGGAUAUUCCCGUACCGACCAUGGACCGGCAAAACCGAGACGGUGAGUACUAACCUCCGCCUCGUGGUGGUUCCUUCCUUCGGGUUGGUUCCGUCGCGUGGUGUUGGGAGCGUAGCCGCAGUAGGUCAGCGCAGGGGUGACACGGAAUGGGAGCCGGCCGCGGAGGUGGUUUUCCGUGGUCAAGCACGCAGCCAGUCAUGUAGGCAAAUCCGCAUGGCAUGCAUGGCGAGGUGUGAUGAUGGGAGCCGUUAUGGCUCGAUAUCCGGUUGUCCAGGCCGUCGAGAAAAGCCUCGGCGUGAGGGCCAUGGCCGCCCGUACCCCAAACCGACACUGGUGGUCAGGUAGAGAAUACCAAGGCGAUCGAGCGAAUCCUGGUCAAGGAACUCGGCAAAUCACUCCCGUGCCUUCGGUAUAAGGGAGACCCACUGGGGUGAAGGACCUUGCGUCCGGAGCUUUGGUGGGUGGCACAGACCAGGGGGUAGCGACUGUUUACCAAAAACACAGGUGCAUGCGAAGGCGAAAGCCGCUGUAUAUGCACUGACGCCUGCCCGGUGCCGGAAGGUUAAGAGGAUCCGUCAAUCCCUUCGGGGACGAAGCGGUGAAUUCAAGCCCCGGUAAACGGCGGUGGUAACUAUAACCAUCCUAAGGUAGCGAAAUUCCUUGUCGGGUAAGUUCCGACCUGCACGAAUGGCGUAACGACUUCCCCACUGUCUCGACCAGGAGCUCGGCGAAAUUGCAGUACGAGUAAAGAUGCUCGUUAAGCGCAGAAGGACGAAAAGACCCCGGGACCUUUACUAUACCUUGGUAUUGGCGUUAGGCGCGGAUUGUGUAGCAUAGGCGGGAGGCUUCGAAGCGGGUGCGCCAGCAUUCGUGGAGCCGCAAGGUGAAAUACCGCUCUGUUCUCGUUUGACGUCUAACCUCGACAAGUCAUCCUUGUCAGGGACAGUGCCUGGCGGGUAGUUCAACUGGGGCGGUUGCCUCCCAAAGAGUAACGGAGGCGCUCAAAGGUCCGCUCAGCCCGGUUGGCAAUCGGGUGUCGAGUGUAAUCGCACAAGCGGGCUUGACUGCGAGGACGACGGUCCGAGCAGGGACGAAAGUCGGAGAUAGUGAUCCGGUGCCGGCGCACGGGCGCGGCAUCGCUCAACGGAUAAAAGGUACCCCGGGGAUAACAGGCUGAUCAUUCCCAAGAGUCCAUAUCGACGGGAUGGUUUGGCACCUCGAUGUCGGCUCGUCGCAUCCUGGGGCUGGAGCAGGUCCCAAGGGUUCGGCUGUUCGCCGAUUAAAGCGGCACGCGAGCUGGGUUCAGAACGUCGUGAGACAGUUUGGUCUCUAUCCUCUGCGCUCGUUGGAAUCCUGAGGAGGCCUGCCCAUAGUACGAGAGGACCUGGGUGGACGAACCUCUGGUAUGCCGGUUGUC